rnacentral:lncRNA from 1 species
GCAAAUACGUGCCUUGUUCCCUCCUGGCCAGCCACAGCUUUUGGAAGAAAACAUAAGGUAAUUUCACUCUGAGGACCAGAAACCUUCUUAAACUCUUCAAACGAGUAGCACGUGAUACAGAUAGCAGUUGUGCUUGGGGAAAAUGCCAGUCAUCUCAUGAAGGGUUUGCUUCCUUGGUGCGUGUGGAGGAUACCUGGUGCAGAUUGUUCGUACAGAGGCACGUGGGCAUCAUGCAAGCUCCAAAGACUUGUCCAGAAGUCUGGAGGAAGCACUGGUUUGGGUUUGAGAAGAUGUGGUAUCUAGUCACUCUACCAUAUAAUUCUUCUGGGAAUCUGGCAAAUCCUGUAGUGCAAAAGCAUUGGUAAUUCAGUGCCUGAAUACCCUAAGUAUGGCCCCCCAAAACUUUGUGUCUGGGUUCCUGGCUUGGUACUGACACAACUGGUCAAGCUUUUUAUGCUGUAUCUUUCUGAGUUUAUGAGGACUUUUGGGGAGGGGGGAUUUUCUCACUCUAUCAGAAGGUUAAGACUAGUGUGAAUUAGGUUUACCAGUGCCUUUGAAGUUCCUAUUUGGCAUCUUCUCAGCAUCUGUAGGCUCCUAGAUAAGUUUAAAAUCCAUCCUCCUGACCAUAACACUUGAAAUACCACUGCCAUAAUAAGAUUGGUCCCUUGAGAAUAUUUUUUCAGCUUUGUUCUCCUUAACCUGAUAUCCCAAAGUAGUGAACUUCCAUCACUCCCCUGGAUUGUUUAGGAUCACUUCACAAGCUGAUAAAGCCAGGAAGGACAGAUAGCAAUUCUGCAACUUGUCUUGACGUGUGUGAGUACCCUGCCAAAGUAUAUUACAACAUAUUGAGUGGGUCUGUCGCUGGCUGCACCUGGGCCAUAUAGAAUACUAAGAAGGACUCAGAAAAAGUAUUUUUCUUCUUCUCAGUUGUUGGGGAAGAGCCGAUACUGUUUUAACCUUACUCUAUCUUUCUGUUCCUAAGUUGAGCUGGAUAUAUCUAGGUUGGCUACACUUCAGCUUCCACAGUAACAGAUCUUUUUCUGGCAGCAGAAAAAGAUGCAAAUUAUUUUCAUGUGGCAGGUGUUUCAACCAAAUACCCUGGGAUCAAACUAACAUUUAUCAA